CUCCCUUCCACUGACACAGCCCAACCUCCCUUCCACUGACACAGCCCAACCUCCCUUCCACCGACACAGCCAAACCCGGCCCGGGCAGCUCCCAGGGAAACGCUUCCCGGAUGAGUUGCUGCAAGGCUGUAUAAGUUUUUCCAGAAGGAAAACCUGAAAGACACCCAUGAGGUUCAGAGGAGCCUCUGCACAACGAGAUAUCCUGUGCUUGCCCCACGUCCUACAUGAGAUGCUCCUAUAUGUUGCCCUGGUCUUUUGAGUCUUUUUAAAGCCUUCUACUUGUGCAUAAGAUGGAGUCAGUUCUUUAGUUUCUGUACAAUAUUAAGGGUCAGUUUUUCACUUUCUCACACUUUGGAACGUAAACAACCUUUCUUGUUUUUGUUCACUGUCCUUUGUUUACAUAUUUCUAGCCUGAAAAUAAUGUUGGUUGACAGCUGGUCUGGCCAGUGGGGUGAAGGGGUAGUAACCCCAGGAGCCAAUCCAUAACCAGACCCACAAAGGUAUAAAAAUGGAAGAAAUAGGCUUGCCCUCUUUUUAGGGAGCAGCUUUUCACUGCA